rnacentral:rRNA from 1 species
GACGAACGCUGGCGGCGUGCCUAAUACAUGCAAGUUGAGCGCUGAAGGUUGGUACUUGUACCAACUGGAUGAGCAGCGAACGGGUGAGUAACGCGUGGGGAAUCUGCCUUUGAGCGGGGGACAACAUUUGGAAACGAAUGCUAAUACCGCAUAAAAACUUUAAACACAAGUUUUAAGUUUGAAAGAUGCAAUUGCAUCACUCAAAGAUGAUCCCGCGUUGUAUUAGCUAGUUGGUGAGGUAAAGGCUCACCAAGGCGAUGAUACAUAGCCGACCUGAGAGGGUGAUCGGCCACAUUGGGACUGAGACACGGCCCAAACUCCUACGGGAGGCAGCAGUAGGGAAUCUUCGGCAAUGGACGAAAGUCUGACCGAGCAACGCCGCGUGAGUGAAGAAGGCCUUCGGAUCGUAAAACUCUGUUGGUAGAGAAGAACGUUGGUGAGAGUGGAAAGCUCAUCAAGUGACGGUAACUACCCAGAAAGGGACGGCUAACUACGUG